rnacentral:lncRNA from 1 species
UUUGAUUCUUUCUUGUAGGUGUGGGCUAUACAGUGAUAUUAAUAGCUCUCUACGUGGGAUUCUAUUACAAUGUAAUAAUUGCUUGGUCAUUGUACUACCUUGCAUCUUCCUUCACCUCUGUUCUUCCAUGGACCAAGUGUGGCAAUGAGUGGAACAGUCCCAACUGCACUGAUCCCAAGCAUCUCAAUAUUUCUCUACUCAGUAAUGGAACUAAAUACUCAAAAUAUAAAAUAACUCCAGCCACUGAAUUUUAUGAGUAAGUGUUUCAUUUUGAUUUUAAUAGUAAAUCCCAUGAUUAUUGACACCUGCAAUACUCUGAAACAAAGUUUAUUAACUAAAAUAAAAAUAUGACAUGUUGAUAAUAAAUGGUGUAUUCUCUAACAGAUAAUAAUUGCUUUGAGAUGGUUUUAUGUGUUGAAAAUACAUGUUUGUAUGUAAUAUAGUAGAUUGAGCUCACACUUACUGUAAAAUUGUUAUUUAGACAUUGAAAAUGGUUCUUUAAAGAGGAUUUAAAGGGACACUAUGGUCACCAGAACAACUACAGCAUAUUGUAUUUGUUUUGGGGAGUAUAAUCAUUCUCUUCAGGCUUUUUGCAGUAAACACGGUCUUUUCUGAGAAAAAGCAGUGUUUACAUUACAGCCUAGGGAUACCUGCAGUGGCCACUCCUCAUACGGCUACUAGAGGUGCUUUCUGGGGAAAUGCUGCACACAUUGCAGCACAGGCAUUCAUCAUAGAAAUGCAUUGAUUCAAUGUAUCUCUCUAAGGAGAUGCUGAUUUCCAGGGCAGUGUUUGGCUUGUGCUGGCUUUGCCCCUGAUCUACCUCCUUGACAGUCUCAGCCAAUCCAAUAGGAAAGCAUUGUGAUUGCUUAAGAGAAUCACUUGUGAUCAGGGGUAGAGACAGAAGCAGCAGACUGGAAUAAAGAUAAGAUUAUACUAUAUUUAGAGGGACGGGAGGGGCAGGGGAGCUAGAUGGUGUUUUAACAAUAUAGUGUCAGGAAUACAUGUUAUAGUGUUCCUUUAACCCCUUAAGGACACAUGACCUGUGUGACAUGUCAUGAUUCCCUUUUAUUCCAGAAGUUUGGUCCUUAAGGGGUUAGCAGCAGGAACAGAAAUCACUGAAGGUAAAUGCUUAUUGUGAUUGGUUUAUUUUUCAAAGGAUGACAUUCACAUUUGUUAUAUAAACAAAACAAAAAUAAUUAAAGGGACACUAUAGUCACCAAAACAACUUUAACUUAAUGAAGCAGUUUUGGUGUAUGUAUCAUGUCCCUGCAGUCUCACUGCUCAAUUCUCUGCCAUUUAGGAGUUAAAUCACUUUGUUUAUGAACUCUAAUCAUACCUCCCUGCAUGUGACUUUCAAAGCCAGCCUCUUCUCCUGGGGGGCCGGCGUGCGAGGGAGCCCUCUCUCCUGUGUGCUUCCUCUUCAGCUCCCUCGCGCACCGCACUGAUACCGGAGCCGGAAGAUGACGUCAUCUUCUGGCGCCGGCAUACCUAUGCGGCGUGCGAGGGAGUUGAAGAGGAAGCACACAGGGGAGAGUGCUCCCUCGCGCGCCGGCCACCCAGACAGACAGCCCGCCCGCCGGGGUCAGCCUCGGGGGGGCCCUGAGGUGGCCGCCCAGGAGCCAAGUAGCACCACUGGACCCCAGGCAGGGCCGGUGCAAGGAUUUUUGCCACCCUAGGCAAAAGUAAAGUUUGCCGCCCCCCCCAUGUGACAUCACAAUGCCCCACCCAUAUGAUCUGCCAUGUUAACUAACGCCAGUGCUGCAGUGCCGCCGUGUUUACAUUAAAAGGCCCUGCAGGCUAUGGACACCAGAACCACUACAUUAAGCUGAAGUGGUUCUGGGGACUAGAGAUUAGUGCCAUGAAUAAUAUACUAGAUUGCCUACUUACAACCAGAUGAGGAUGAUGAUGGGCUCUAGCUGCAGUCUGGCUCCACUGGUCUGGUGUAGAACAGGCUCCCUGGAGGCUGUUUGUAACUGUGGUCACAAAAAUCAAUGUUCUGGGAGAAUGGGAAGCAGCUCCAUUUUUUUUUUUUAAGGCCCUUUACACAGCUCAAGGUCUGGGUCCCAAGGUCCACUUUCAUGUUCCACCAAUGAGUUUGUUCACAGGGGGUGGAGUAGGGGGAUGUCCGGAUAUGUGUGUAAGGAAUGCAUUGUGUGAAUCUGUGUUUGUAUGUGUAAGAGCUGCAAGGUGUGUUUCUGUGUAUGUACGGGAUGCAUUGAGUGUGUGCAUCUGUAAGGGGUGCAUUGAGUGUGUGUAAGGAAUGCAUUGUGUGUUUCUGUGUGUGUAAGGGAUGCAUUGUGUGUAAGAGUUGCAUUGCUUGUGUGUGUGUGUCUGUGUGCGUAAUGCAUUGUGUGUUUUUCUGUGUGCAAGGGGUGCUUUGUCUUUGUGUGUAAGGGGUGCAUUGUGUGUGUGUGUGAUGGAUGUCAGUCUCUUCUCCCCCCUCUACCUCCCUUGUCCCUCUCUUCUCCCCCCCUUGUCACUCUCUUCUCCCCUGCUUGUCCCUCUCUUCUCCCCCCUCCCUUGUCACUCUCUUCUCCCCCGUUGUCACUCUCUUCUCCCCUCCCCACUCUUAUUCACCCAUAAAUUCCCCUCCCUGUCAAUUUCUUCCCCUCCCCUGUCAAUCCCCUGUAUUCCCCCCCUGUAAAUUUCCCCCUCCUGUCAAUUUCCCCCUCCCUGUCAGUUUCCCCCCUUCCUGUCAAUUUCCCCCUCCCUGUCAAUUCACCCCUCCUGUCAAUUUACCCCGUCCAUUUCCCCCCUCCCUGUCCAUUUCCCCCCACCUGUCCAUUCCCCCCAUGUCAAUUUCUCCCCCUACCUCCCUGUAGCAUGGCCGAGCCCUCUAUGGUAUGGUCUGCGGGUACAGGGAGCUUUUGUUUCCUGUACCCAGCCGGACUAACAAGAAGUACACACUCAGUGUGCACUUCCUGUUAGUCCAGCCGGGUACAGGACACAAAAGCUCCCUGUACCCGCGGACCAUAUCAUAGAGGGCUCGGCCACGCUACAGGGAGGGAGUGACAGGAGGGAGUGCUCAGCGCUUCCCUCCUGUCAGCCCCUCUCCCCAUGCUGCGCCCGGGCGGAGCGGUCUGCCCUCAUGGACGCACCGCCCGGGCAAAGCUGCAGCCGCCUGAGGCUCUCUACAGAGUGCUCUGGCGGCUGCAGCAUGAGCGGGGCCAGCGCUCCUGGCGGCGCCCCCUCCCAAGGGGCGCCCUAAGCGGCUGCCUAGUCUGCCUUACAGGUAGUGCCGGCCCUGACCCCAGGGAAUCCCCUCAGCUCUCCAAAAGGUAAGGAGGCUGGGGGGAUUACAUUUAAAAAAAAAUGUGUGUGUUAGUGUGUGUGUUUGUAUCAAUGAGUGUCUGUUAUUGGGUGUGUGUCUGCUAGUGAGUGUGUUUGAUGUCUGUUAGUGAGUGUGUGUUUGUCAGUGAAAGUUUUUUUGUGAGUGUGUAUGUAUGUCUGUUGCUGAGUGUGUCUCUGUCAGUAAAUGUGUGUGUCUGUUAGCUAGUGUGUAUGCGUCUGUUCGUGAGAGUGUGUGUGCGUGUGUGUCUUCAGCAUUUACCUUUCUCCAGCGUCGGACUCCCUUGGCGCUGGGGAUCCCUCCGCCUCUCAGCUCCGAAUGCACAUGUGCGGCAAGAGGCGCGCGAGCAUUUAAACCGCCCAUAGGAAAGCAUUACUCAAUGCUUUCCUAUGGACGUUCAGUGUCUUCUCACUGUGAUUUUCACAGUGAGAAUCGCGGAAGCUCCUCUAGCAGCUGUCAAUGAGACAGCCACCAGAGACUGGAUUAACCCUCAGUGAAACAUAGCCGUUUCUCUGAAACGGCUAUGUUUUCAGCUACAGGGUUAAAACCAGAGGAACCUGGCACCCAGACCACUUCAUUGAGCUGAUGUGAUCUGGCUGCUUGUAGUGGUCCUUUAAGUGUGUGUGCAUACUGCGGUCGCGGGGUCGCAGUCCUGCAACCCCUGCGACCAGGUGCCCGCCGCCAUGUGUUGUGGCCCCUACCCGCGCCGAGUAAGCACAAGGGGGGGGAGGGGGCCACGGAUACACUUGUUUAAGGUAAAUUACAUCUGAUUAAAAGUGAAACCAGUUUUUUUUUUUUUUCCAUGCAGACUGUGUCAAUCAGGGAGGUGUGACAAGUGCUGCAUAAACAGAAACAAAGUGAUUUAACUCCUAAAUGGCAGUGAAUUGAGCAGUGAAACCUGAGAAUCAUGAGCUAUGCACUAAAACGGCUUUAUUAAGCUAAAGUUAUUUAGGUGACUAUAAUGUUCCUUUAACUACUUUUUCAUUUAACCCCUUAAGGACCGAGGACGGAUCAGGACCGUCAUCGGCAUUUUUGCCUUGAGGACCGAUGACGGUCCUGAACCGUCCUAACGGUCAGAGCUACUUACCUGAUCGCCGUCGUUCCCCGGGCGGCGAUCAGCGUGGCUCCGGUUGUGGGGAGACUGCCUGCAGCCCAGACAGUCUCCCCACGGCAGAUUAGGACCCCUGUGGCCAUGUGAUCGCUUAACACAGCAAUCACAUGGUCACAAUAGGUGUCCAUAGUGCUGCCUGCAGGGGGACUGUCUGUGCUGACAGGCAGUCUCCCUGCUUGUGUAAAAUCAGAAAAAAAAAAUAAAGUUAGUGUUAAUUAAAAAAAAAAAAAUUAUUAUAUAUGUGUAUAUAUGAUAUAUAGACAUAUAUUAUAUCUAUAUAAUAUAUGUCUAUAUAUCAUAUAUAUAAUGCCAUACUAAGUGUAUUUUUAUAUUAAUAUGUACUUAUAUUAAUAUAAAAAAUACACUUAUAAUUAAAUUACACACGUAUAUAUAUAAUAUAUAUAAUAACUAUAUAUAUUGUAUAUAUAUAUUAUUAUAAAAUAUAAAUAAUAAGUAAUUUAAAUUAAAUAAAAAAUUUUUAAAAUAAUAAUAAAAAAUUAAAAAAAAUUAUAUAGCUAUAUGAAAUUUUAUUCUAACUGUAUUUUAAAAUUAAUAUAUAUAUAUUUAUAUCAAAAUACACUUAGAAUGAAUUUGUAUAUAUAUCUAUGUAUAUAAAAAUAAAUAAAAAUAAGAAAUAUACAUACGUCCAUAUACAAAAUUACAUAAAUAAAUAUAUAAAUAUACACGUAGACUUCAAAUAUAUAAAUAUGCAUAUAUAUUUAAAUUCUACGUGCGUAUUUAUGUAAUAUUUUUACAUAAUUCAGUAAUUUUAUUGAUUGCAAUUUGAGGACCUGCCUGCCAACCCAGGCCGAAAUUCCAGAGAAUUUAAUUUGCUAGCACUGUAUUUUACCCUGUAACGUUCUACGACACCCUAAAACCUGUACAUGGGGGUACUGUUUUACUCAGGAGACUUCGCUGAACACAAAUAUUAGUGAUUCAAAACAGUAAAACAUAUCACAGUGAUGAUAUUGUCAGUGAAAGUGACUUUUUUUGCAUUUUUCACACACAAACAGCACUUUUACUGAUGAUAUAAUUGUUGUGAUACGUUUUCCAGUUUUUAAACACUAAUAUUUGUGUUCAGCAAAGUCUCCUGAGUAAAACAGUACCCCCCAUGUACAGGUUUUAUAGUAUUUUUGAAAGUUGCAAGGUCAAAUAUAUGGGUCAAAUAUUUUUACAUUGAAAAUGGCCAGGUUGGUUACGUUGCCUUUGAGAGCGUAUGGUAGCCCAGGAAUGAGAAUUACCCCCAUGGUGGCAUACCAUUUGCAAAAGAAGACAACCCAAGGUAUUGCAAAUGGGGUAUGUCCAGUCUUUUUAGUAACCACUUGGUCACAAACACUGGCCAAAAUUAGCGUUCAAUUUAGUUUUUUUACUUUUUUCACACACAAACAAAUAUGAAUGCUUACUUUGGCCAGUGUUUUUCGACUAAGUGGCUACUAAAAAAGACUGGACAUACCCCAUAUUGAAUACCCUGGGUUGUCUACUUUAAAAAAAAUAUGUACAUGUGGGGUGUUAUUCAGAGAUUUAUGACAGAUAAUAGUGUUACAAUGUCACUAUUGAUAAAUUUUAAAAAUGUAUGUUUUGAAACCGCAAUAUCCUACUUGUACCUAAAGCCCUAUAACAUGCAAAAAAAAGCAAAAAAGCACGUAAACACUGGGUAUUUUUAAACUCAGGACAAAAUUUUGAAUCUAUUUAGCAGUUUUUUUCAUUCGCUUUUGUAGAUGAGUAAAAGAUUUUUCAAGUAAAAGUCAAAAAACAUGUAUUUUUUUCAAUUUUUCAUCAUAUUUUUUUAUUUUUUUUAAAUUAAAAUACAUGAGAUUAUAUAAAUAAUGGUAUGUAAAGAAAGCCCCUUUUGUCCUGAAAAAAACAAUAUAUAAUUUGUAUGGGAACAGUAAAUGAGAAGCGGAAAAUUACAGCCAAACACAAACACCACAAAAGUGUAAAAAUAUGCCUGGUCGCAAAUGUACAACAUCGCAAAAACAGUCCAGUCCUUAAGGGGUUAAUAGGUUUUCUUUUUUUUUUGCAACCCUUCCAGUAUUUACUCUACCUUUGUUUUCACUGGAUAUUUUUUAUUACUUUUAAGGAACUUUAUUGUUUCUUAUCUAGGAUGUUUCUCCUUUAUUUAGCUAAAACUUUUACUAUAUUGGACUAUAAUUGGUCUGUGUCCACUUGGACCUAUUCGAUAACUAAAGGGACACUAUAGUCACCAGAACAACUCCAGCUUAAUGUAGUUGUUUUGGUGAGUACAGUAUGUCCCUGCAGGCAUUUUCAUGUAAACCCUGCCUUUUCAGAAAAAAAAGACAGUGUUUACGUUGCUUCAGUGGCAAUUAGAGUUGAGCUAACGCGAACUGAAAAGUCCAGGUUCGCACCGAACAUUAAGGUUUUUGGACCCCGGACCUGAACACGGACAUUUCAGUGUAUGUUCGGUUUGGAGUUCGGUGUUCGGCGAUUUAAUGGCGCGUUUUGAAAGGCUGCAGGGCAGACAAUCAACAAGCGUUUGACUCGUGUGCCCAUCACAGCCAUGCCGAAAAUUAAAAAAACAGAACACACUAGCACAGACAACAGAAGACAUAGUCGAGACAUUUAUCUCUCAUUAUACAACCUAAGGGACCGCAAAAUAAAGACGAGAUUAAGACGUACUUGGAAGACAAAUUAUACAAAAUCCUUCAUUGUCCCGCACCCUGGAUGAGCCAUUCACAAGAGCCCAGGCCCGGAUGACUUCUCAGCCACAUAUUCUAAAUCCUUUUUAAAAGAGCUAGGCAAACAUUUCUUAGAAGCCCUAAACUCCAUAUCUCUGACUCAAACAAUUCCCCACUGUAACCUAGAGGCCAAUAUUACACUGUAUCACGUAUUCAUCUGCACAUAAAAAUAUGAUUAAUGGCAUUUACUUUUCUUACAGGAAAAGUUGUGCCAAGCAACAUUACUGUCCUGACAGGAAAAGUUAUGUCGAGCAGUAAUCAAUCCACAGGAGGGUUUGUGCUGAGCAGCAAUCAUGCGGGGGGUUUAGGCCCAGUUCUCCUCUUGCUCAGUGCCCUGUCGUGGUUUCCCUUGUGGUUGUCCGAGGGCGCGUUAUUGAUUCUGGUGUUUCUGGUUAUUUGACUUUGGCAUUGAUAUUGACUUCCCUGUUUUCAGGCAUCCCUGACCCCAGGCUUUUCCUUAUUGUUGUCUCUUUCUGUAUCCCUUGACCUCGGCUAUUUCUGACUAUUCUUUGGUACGUUAGUCCAGCCAUUCUAAGGUCUGGUAUAUGUUACAAUCCUCUUUGGUAUAUGCUAUCAAUCCUCUUUGUUACACAAUUCUACGUGCUGGAUCAUACUGUAAUACUGACACACUGCUCCCUAAGCCAGGGAAAGAGCUGGAGAGAUGCUUGAGUUAUCGCCCGAUCUCUUAUAAACAUGGACGUAAACAUUUUCACCAAGAUGUUGGCUUCCAGAUUAUGACCCUUGCUUUCAGGACUAGUCCAUCCUGAUCAGGCUGGAUUCGUCCCAUUUAGGGAAGCCAAAGAUAAUACCACCAAGAUUAUAAACUUACUUAAUUUAGCGAAGCAAAAAAAUACUCCAUCCCUCCUCUUAGCAAUUGACGCAGAUAAAGCUUUUGACAGGGUGGACUGGUCCUUUCUAACCAACACCUUGGAGGCAUUUGGGUUUGGACACCGGUAGAUCCAAUGGAUCCAGGCGAUUUACUCAACCCCAAUUGCCAAACUAAAAGUCAAUGGAGAAUUUUCCAACCUGUUCCCCAUUUCAAAUGGAAUGCACCAAGGGUGCCCCCUCUCUCCCCUUUUUUCAUCCUAGUCCUAAAACCCUUGUUACAGGACAUUCGUAGACAGGAAGGAAUAGAGGGCAUCAAAUUACAGAACCAGGAAUAUAAAAGGUCGGCUUUUGCAGACGACCUUCUAUUCACCAUUGAAAAUCCUAAGAAAGGUUUGUCUCAGUUGAUGGAGGCAAUCACAACUUACAGUAAACUAUCUAAUUUCAAAAUAAACAUUUUCUCAACUUGAACCACUCAAACUCACAAAUGUUACACCUGAAAAAGGCAUAUCAUAUCCAGCGGGCUAAACAAUCAAUAAAAUACCUCUGGGGAAACCUUACAUCUUCGAUCAGUACAAUAUUUUCAGCAAAUUUCCCUGGAUUAUUGUCCUCUAUUCAGAGGGACCUAGAAUCAUGGGAUAAACCGCACUCUAGAUGAAUGGGAAGGAUAAAUACUAUUUCUAUGAAUGUCCUCCCACACAUUCUAUAUCUACUGAAUACUCUUCCAAUAAUAAUCCCACAGAAAUUCUUCCGUUCCAUCCAAACCGUGCGGACCAAAGACAUCUGGGCCAAGAAACGACCGCGCGUAGCCAUAGGCAUGCGCACAGGGUGUGCCGGGUGUGCCUGGGCAAACCCUAAUCCCUGCGGCCCGCGCUGUGUGCCUCCAUGGGCUGGUGAGGGAGAUUACAGAUCUCCCUCACCAGCCCACAGGCAGGGAGGGACGCAGGAGAGGACCUGGGGAGCUCUUGCCAGCAGCUCCACGGGGUUCCUCUUGUAAGGUCGGAGCAUUGCAGCAGCAACGCUUAGAUCUCGUAAUAGUGAACUCUAGUGCUGGAGGCUAGAGUUCACUCACACUAAGACCACCAGGGAUCAGUGAUGGCAGCAAGGAUCCCCUCUCCCAGGCAAAAGGUAAGAAGGGAGGGGGGCUAUUUACUAGCCGCUGGCCUCUGCCGCUGGCCUCUGCCCUACUGACCCCCUUGUUAAAGGACUGGCCUGCACCCCCUCACCCCAGCAGAAGCACUGGCAUCAGGGCCUCUGCCCCUAAAGUCCCCACAGCGUGUUGCCCCAUCACCCCAGAGAAAUACCCUGGUGAAGUAACUGUUUGUUGUGGGUGGGCUGCUCUUGCACUUUGUUGUUAUGGGUGGGUUGUCAGACUAACUCAGGCACUGACCAACAGAAGGUCAGGUACCUGGUUAGUCUACCCCCCAAAGGGGAGAUAUGUGGCAAAAGUAACCUCGCCACUGGUUUUUGGAGGGGCCUGUUUGCCAGCCUCCUGCCCUGUGACUAUGGCCCUGGGAUGUAUUGCCCUUCUAGGAACUGAUGUGGGCAUACUUGAUUUUAUUAUGCUGCUGCUGGCCCUUUAAGAACCAUCUGGGGACAUACUGUGGAGUUACUGGGUGGCCACCAUUUCAUGUAUCAGGGGCACAUGGUGAGAACAAUGGACGAAGCACAUGGUGAGAACAAUGGAUGGUGGCCAUUUUAACUCAGACACUUUUUGGACUUUUCUACACACUGUCAUCUCGCCAGUAUUUGGUGCACAAAGACAUCGUGCAGUAGUUUUAAACUAUAGAACAGGGGACACAUUUAACAGUAAUUCUUUUUUAAAUAGCCUGUAUAUGUUCUGCGGAACCUGCAUUAAACUGUAUCUUCCAAACUACUGAACGGAUCUGGGUGAAUUUUGGAUAUAUGGUUCACCCAGACCCCCCCGGUUCCGAUGAUAUAGGGGGUUAUUGCAUGUUUUGGGGUCCCUGUGUUUUAUAAUACUGUAUUUCUGUAUUUCAGGCAGAGGGGAGGAUUUUGUGUGGGAGUGUCUGUGUGUAUUGUAUGGAUUGAUUGGUUGUAUUUCAAAACCCUGUGGGCAGUACUAUGUUUGUGGAUUGCGAAUAAAAGAGGCUGUAUGUGCCAGUACAGUCAGUUCUGCUUGACCUCAAAACGAAGUGUCGUCUCGUUAUUGGGGGAAUUGGAUUGUAUGCUGAUUGCCAGGAGUGUAAGCUGAUUGUAUGCUGUAGCGGAUGGCACUGGGCUGUCCUGGGAAUUGUAUUGGUGUUGACUGCAUUCGUGUAAAUGGCAAAGUUAUAUGUGUUAAAUGUAUUGUGCUCGUCUGAUUGUUCGGUAGUUUCAUUCCCUUAGUUUGUUCGAAUGAAACUACCGAACAGUCAGACCUCCCAUGUGUGAAGUGUGCCUUCAAUACCCGUUGCAACAUUGUUGCGAACGGGUAAUUGACAAGCUGAGUAGCCGUCCUUUGUUCUCGGGGAUGGCUGCCAUUUGGGAAACGAACACGUGGCGGCGGCCAUUUUAAAACUCCCGAACAGCGGUGUUUUGCCGUCGAGUGUCUGGAACUCAAAUUGGACACUCGACUAGGCGAACACCGCUGAGACCUCCACAAGCCCGGUCCGUUCGGUUCCAAACUACCGAACGGCUCCUCGUUCGGUAGAUAGAAACAACCGAACGAGGGGAUUCAGGCGAACCCUCCCCAGUCUCUGCAACUAGAGGCUUUCGUGUGAUUUAUUCCCUUGUUCCAGGACCGACCGCAGGGCCCCAUCGCAUGGAGCCCAAUUCGGCUAUUCCUUUCAGUGAGGUCGGUCAUUUUAUUCCCUCCAUGAAUUUCCCGAACCCUUGGUCUGAUCUGGGUGAUUUUUGGAUAUGUUGUUCACCCAGAUCAGGGCUACCAGGGGAUGUAUAAUUUAAAGCGGUACCCCUAGGUCUAGGGGUACAUCCAGAAACGGGGGGAAUUGGUGUCCUGGAUAAGGGGAUUAUGAUGCAGGCUGAGGGGAGGGGAUGUGUGGGAGGUUACCGGAACAGGAUUGGCUACUGAAUUAAUGAAUGGAAAUCCCUCCCUUGCAUGGGAGCAUGCUUUAUAAGGCCACUGUCUGAAUAAAUCUUUUGUUCUGCUCCUGAUACUGUGUGUCGUCCAGUUAUUGGGAGUGCUGUUGGGAUACUACUGUAUUGUUUUACCUGCUGGAUACCUUGCCUAUGGAUUAAUAAUUAUUUGUUCCUGAGCCUCACUGGGAUCUACAAGUGGAGGUAGGCUAUGAAAUACUAGCUCUCCGCUACAUUGGUUGGUAGCGCUGGGAUCCAGAAUCACAGAGGAACAAGCACAAAUGGAGUACGGAUGGAGAUUGAUUUUGCUACACUAAAACACUCCACGUUAAAGGACCUCCUGGAGGCAAGGGGUAUUCAAGCCAGCAACAAGAAGAAAGCGGUACUUAUUACCGAACUCCUGGCAGAGUACCGAAUGGAUGGGGGUUCGGUUACCGAACAGGGGGAUUCGGGAGAAACACAGGAACAAAUGGAGUUCCAGAGACAGUUACAAUUUAGGCUGUCUUUUUAUGGAGAGCACCCUUCAGCGGAAAUUAUUUCCAAGACCAUGACAGAGGUCCAGGAAUUCAUACUGAGGCAACGGACAACAACAACCCCAGAACGCAGCUCUACAGUAAACAUGCCACAGGAAGGUAAGCCUAAAAUACCGUAUCAGGCUUUUAAAACAUAUGUGGAGGCAGAGGAAGAUAUAGACGCUUUCCUGCAAGAUUUUGAAAGACUGUGUACACUGCAUAAAAUCAGCACAGAGGACAGGGUACCUAUUUUGGCAGGACGGUUAACUGGGAGGGCAGCAGAGGCGUAUCGUACUGUGCCAGAUGAAGAAAUCAGGAUUUACAGGAAAGUGAAAGAGAUUAUACUGGCCUGGUAUGCUAUAACACCAGAAGCAUACCGGAGGAGAUUCCGUGAUUUGAAGAAAGUGGAGAAGGACUCACGUGCAGGUUACAACGGGCAGCACUCGGGUGGGUGCAAGCUAGCAAGGCACGGUCCAUGGAGGACGUGAUACAAAUGCUGCUAAUGGAACAAUUCUAUGAUGGAGUGACAACAGAUGUCCAGGAGUGGGUAAGGGACCAAAACCCUACCUCCCUCACAGAAGCUGCCAGGAAGGUAAUGAGUACCUGGACGCACGCAGGCAACAAAAACCUGCAGUUCCAAAAGCCGCAUGGAAAACCUUUGGGGGAACCAACUACACCCCAGCCCCACCGAGGCAACUACCACCGCCCGCUGCACAGCCACGGUUUCGCCAGCUGAGCUCUGCGCCCUGUCAUCACUGCCAGAAAUGGGGGCAUUAUAAAGGAGAAUGCCCACAACUACGGGAUCGUUCCACCUGGAUCCGACCCGGCCCGGCACCACCACCAAGGGCCACCGCAGCACACUGCUACCAGGACAUAAUUGCAACACCAUAUGGCUCAGCAGUACCCAUUACCACCGUGGAACAGUUGGAAGUAUUACACGAGGCAGACCCAGUACAGGCGAAUGCGGAUAACAGACAGCACCACAGACAAACCGUGUACCUGGAGGAGAAAGCUGUACAAGGGCUCCGUGAUUCCAGGGCCACUAUUACUCUGGUCAAAAGCCACUUGGUAGUGGACAAAGCAAGAACCAACAGAACCGUAGCCGUCUGGGUAGCCAGGGGAGCUGUGUACCGGCUACCUACAGCCAGGGUUCAUCUACAUUGGGGAGCGGGGACGGGAGAAGUGGAGGUGGGGUUAGUGCCACAAUUACCAGCCAAAGUUUUGCUGGGCAACAAUCUGGGAAGACUCACGUCUGCAUUUGAGCCCACACUGCCGGAGGUCCAGGUAAGAGAUCCUUCCCCCUCCCUUGACUGUGUCCCCUGGGCCCCUCCUAACGAAUUUGCAGCCGAGGUAAUAACCGACCCCACGUUACAAGUACAUAGGGACAAGGUUACAGCAGACAUACCCUGGGGGGGGGGGGCAAAAGGUUUAUCUGGGACAAGCAGCUGUUGUACAGGGAGUCUGACAAGCAGGUAGCCGGGUCAGACCCGAUAGUUAUGCGACAGUUGUUGGUACCACAGCGGUACCGAGCAGAGUUACUCCGGAUAGCGCAUGACAUUCCGCUAUCCGGACAUUUAGGGGUCAGCCGGACCCGGCACAGACUAACCCAAAGUUUCUUUUGGCCUGGAGUUAGCCAGGAAGUGCGCCGAUAUUGCAACACUUGUGAUACGUGCCAAAGGGUAGGGGAAAGGGGGGACCGGCGCAAGGCCAAGCUACACCCCCUUCCCAUAAUUGAGGAACCCUUUAGUAGGGUAGCAGUAGAUUUAAUAGGACCCCUCAACAAAGCGAGCCCGGAAGGCAAGAGAGAUAUCCUGACUGUGGUAAACUAUGCCACUAGAUAUCCAGAGGUUGUGGCCCUCUCUAAUAUUCACGCGGAAACGGUGGUGGAGGCCCUCAUGCAGAUAUUCUCCCGGAUAGGACUCCCCAGGGAGAUUAUCUCAGAUCAGGGUACCCAGUUCACCGCCGAAGUCACUCAGCGCCUCUCGAAGUUCUGUGACAUUAAGCCUAUCACCACCCCCAGACUAAUGCGCUCUGCGAACGAUUCAACGGGACAUUGAAACAGAUGCUCCGAACCUUCACAGAGACCCACAAGGACUGGGAGAAAUUCCUGCCUCACCUCCUCUUUGCUUACAGAGAGGUGCCGCAGGAAUCCACUGGGUUUUCCCCAUUCAAAUUAUUGUUUGGCCGAAGGGUACGGGGGCCCUUAGAUUUGAUUCGAGAGCAUUGGGAGGGAGAGCGGAGCACCGACGGUACCCCCAUCAUACCAUAUGUGUUGGCCUUCCGAGAUCGCCUGGAGGCCCUAACUCAGACGGUGCAAGAAAAUUUACAGGCGGCUCAGACCCGCCAGCGCACAUGGUAUGAUCGGGGCGCCAGGGACCGUAGCUUUCAAGUCGGGCAGAAAGUGUUAAUUUUAAAACCUGUCCGACAUGAUAAGUUACAGGCCGCCUGGCAAGGCCCCUAUAAGGUGGUGGAACAAAGGUGUGACACCACUUAUAUAGUGGGCUCUUGCGUUGGUACUGGAGGGAGACGUAUGCUCCAUGUGAACAUGAUGAAGCCCUACCAGGAGCGCUCCGAGGAAGCGACCGCCAUAUGUGCACCUAACUCGGAGGAGUUCGACAGUUUGCUGCUCCCAGAUCUUCUGGGAGAUGGUCAGUUAUCUGGGGAUUUAGGGGAAGUUGCCCUGGGAGACUGGCUGAGUCCUCAGGAGCGGAGCGAGGUACAACAACUAUUGAGAGAGAAGCGCGAUACCUUCUCUAAUGUACCUGGUUACACUCCUCUGGCCACCCACUGAGUAGACACCCCAGGUCAACUUCCCAUGCGCCAGACCCCGUACCGCAUCCCAGAAGCGGUGCGGGAAAAUAUGCGCAAGGAGAUCGAUGAGAUGCUCCAGCUGGGGGUGAAUGAACCCUCAGACAGCCCCUGGGCCUCUCCAGUAGUACUAGUACCAAAACGGGAUGGGACGACCCGGUUUUGUGUAGACAACCAGAGGCUGAACGAGAAGACUGUGUCCGACGCCUAUCCCAUGCCUAGGAUAGCCGAGCUACUGGACCGGAUGGCUAGAGGGCACUACUAUUGACCUGUGCAAGGGGUAUUGGCAAAUCCCUUUAGCACAGGACGCCAUCCCUAAGUCAGCCUUUGUCAUUCGGCUUGUAUCAAUUUAAGGUCAUGCCGUUUGGGAUGAAAAACGCCCCUGUUACUUUUCAGCGGAUGGUGGAUCGCCUCCUGGAUGGGUUCCAAGACUAUACCUGUGCAUAUCUCAAUGAUAUUGCCAUAUUCAGCAAUACCUGGCAGGAACACUUGGCCCAUAUAGGAGCGAUCCUAGACAGGAUUAGAGCAGCUGGUUUAACGCUGAAACCAGCCAAAUGCAGUAUAGGGAUGGCCGAAGUACAAUACCUCGGCCAUCGGGUAGGAUGCGGCAAGCAGAAGCCAGAACCAGCCAAGGUAGAGGCUGUAGCCCAAUGGCCUACCCCUAGGACUAAGACUCAGGUACUAGCGUUCCUAGGAACAGCUGGAUACUACCGGAAAUUCGUCACUGACUUGACCCGUAAGAACCUUCCCCGUCAAGUGACCUGGACCCCGGAGUGUGAACAGGCAUUCCAACUGCUGAAAAAUGCAUUGAACAAUUCCCCUGUCUUGGCAGCUCCCAAUCCAACUAAACGUUUUCUUGUUCACAAAGACACUUCUAUGUUUGGAUUGGGAGCAGUACUGAGCCAAGUAGGGGCCGAUGGCGGAGAACAUCCUGUGGCUUACAUCAGUCGCAAGCUGUUACCUCGAGAAGUAAGCUACGCCGCCAUCGAAAAGGAAUGCCUGGCUGUGGUGUGGGCCCUGAAGAAAUUGCAGCCGUAUUUGUAUGGACAGCCCUUUUCAUUGUUCACGGAUCACAACCCGUUGGUCUGGCUAAACCGGGUGGCUGGGGACAAUGCCUGGCUGCUGCGCUGGAGUUUGGCGCUGCAGCCCUUUGACUUUAAUAUUCAGUACCGCCUGGGUAAACAGAAUGGAAAUGCUGACGGGUUGUCGAGACAAACAGACCUGGAGAAAUGAUCCAUGAGCCUCCCCGGACAUCCCCAAGCCGAUCCGUGUCGGAUCAGACUGUGUAUGCCGACUUGUGGGCAAGGGGGAGCAGUGUAGCGGAUGGCACUGGGCUGUCCUGGGAAUUGUAUUGGUGUUGACUGCAUUCGUGUAAAUGGCAAAGUUAUAUGUGUUAAAUAUAUUGUGCUCGUCUGAUUGUUCGGUAGUUCAGUAGUUUCAUUUGAACAAACUAAGGGAAUGAACAGUCAGACCUCCCAUGUGUGAAGUGUGCCUUCAAUACCCGUUGCAACAUUGUUGCGAACGGGUAAUUGACAAGCUGAGUAGCCAUCCUUUGUUCUCGGGGGUGGCUGCCAUUCGGGAAACGAACACGUGGCGGCGGCCAUUUUAAAACUCCCAUACAGCUGUGUUUUGCCGUCGAGUGUCUGGAACUCAAAUCGGACACUCGACUAGGCGAACACCGCUGAGACCUCCACAAGCCCGGUCCGUUCGGUUCCAAACUACCGAACGGCUCCUUGUUCGGUAGAUAGAAACAACCGAACGAGGGGAUUCAGGCGAACCCUCCCCUGUCUCUGUAACUAGAGGCUUUCGUGUUAUUUAUUCCCUUGUUCCAGGACCGACCGCAGGGCCCCAUCGCAUGGUCAUUUUAUUCCCUCCAUGAAUUUCCCGAACCCCUGGUCUGAUCUGGGUGAUUUUUGGAUAUGUUGUUCACCCAGAUCAGGGCUACCAGGGGAUGUAUAAUUUAAAGUGGUACCCCUAGGUUUAGGGGUACAUCCAGAAAUGGGGGGAAUUGGUGUCCUGGAUAAGGCUGAGGGGAGGGGAUGUGUGGGAGGUUACCGGAACAGGAUUGGCUACUGUAUUAAUGAAUGGAAAUCCCUCCCUUGCAUGGGAGCAUGCUUUAUAAGGCCACUGUCUGAAUAAAUCUUUUGUUCUGCUCCUGAUACUGUGUGUCAUCCAGUUAUUGGGAGUGCUGUUGGGAUACUACUGUAUUGUUUUACCUGCUGGAUACCUUGCCUAUGGAUUAAUAAUUAUUUGUUCCUGAGCCUCACUGGGAUCUACAAUUGGAGGUAGGCUAUGAAAUACUAGCUCUCCACUACAUAUGCUUUUCCUGUUCAGCUGCUUACAGCAUUCAUAUGCUUGAGAGCAUUCGUAUGCUUCUCCGGUUUGGUGGUUGUGGUGUCUGCUGCAGUGCUUGGAGUCCUCAGGAAGCGCUAGGAGCAUCCUUCAACGGAGGUACCCAGUCGGGGUGCCAGGUGAUCUGUUACAGUGGUCAUGCCCAGAAAUCGUAGGUUAUGCAGGGAUAUAGCAAAUAUUACAGAAGUUGUCUGCAAACUAAAGUUAGCUUUUAACCCGGACACAAUCCUUUUCUUCCAUAUACCAAUCUCUCCAGCAAAAUUUAAACAUUCACUUAUGUUGACAGCAGCAAAAGCAGUUAUCGCUGGAAAGUGGAAAUCUCCAUGUAAACCUACCAGAAGAGAAUGGUAUCAAAAGCUGGAUAGUUUCCACAAAAUGGAGGAAUUGAGAUUGACAGCAAUGGGUAAACAGCAUAAGUUCAUAUCCAUCUGGCAACCGUGGGUACUAUACCUGGGAAAGACAGGGGCAACAAGGAGGUCAGAGUAGCACUACCAGGGGGAUUAAUUACCCCAACAAACAAGUAAAACCGACCACACUUAGGCUUUUUAUAUAUGUUCAUUCUUUUUUUUUCUACAUUUUUGCAAUGUUUUUUCUUUAAGUUCCUGACUUCAUGUUAUAAAUUCUUCGAUUUAUCAGUCCUUUUAUACUCCUCUCAUCCAGUUGUACAAACGAUAUCAUGAAGGGGUAACACACAGUGAGGCAUUAAUGAGGAUAGACAGGCCCAGACAAUACAGGUCCAUGACUUUGAGACUUCAGAAAGAAUUACAUUCAAUCCCAGAAGGCAUACAAUCUAAGGGUUCAAUCAGGAGCGACCCGGGAAAGUUCAGGAGGCCUAAAUAUAGGGUAGAUAAGGCAGUCUUCAACAAUAUAAAAUGUGCGUGCCUUGUUAUUUCAUACAAUGUAUUCAUUUCACACAAUGUAUUAAUCGAAGUAAAAUGCCUUACCGAUCUAUGUAUAUGUAACAUACCUAUACAUAUAUAAUGCACAUUGUACUGAUCCAUGUUGAAUUUUUAUAACUGUAUGAAGAGGGAAAAAUUAUUAAAAAAUAAAAAGUGUACAUGUUUGUAUUCCUGACCCUAUAGUGUUCCUUUAAGAUAGAAAGCACUGCAUAUUUGAUAGAGCUGUAUCUGAAAUUUAGAGUUAAGCUGACAUUUUAAUCUACAUUUUGCAAACUUAGAUGUUUUAAUUGAUCUAAUAAGUUAUAUUUUAGACUUUCUUAUCUGUGAGCUGGGUAUUUGUUUUAAUUUCAUUUUUACUCCCAGAUAAUAUUUUGCUUUUUCUUUCUAUACAUGCUGAUGAUCUUGGCAUGUAUGUCUACAAUCGAGAAAAUCCUACUUUCUGCCAAAGUACAGCAGUUUAGCCAGCAAACAAAGACAUCUGUUAUGUUGAAGACAAUCUGUACUGAAAAGUCUCUCAACAAGAAAUAGUUUCCGGUCCCCUGAUAUUUAUCAAACAUUUCCUGCCAAUAUAAUGGAAUUGAGGUCUAUAUCUGGCAGCCUUAUCCUUUGCCAACCUGUAGCGAGGAAUCCUAGGAGGCCACAUUUGUCACUCAUAUUUUUGAACUGGACAACAUGUAAUAUUUUAAUACUUUAAACAUCACCUCUACUAUAUAUGGUUUUAGUAAGCCAUGUCCACACUGACUGUGACAUAAGAUAAUCAUUCCAUACACCAGUUUUAAAAUUGUGUGUGUGUGUGUGCGCGCGCGCGCCCCAGAACACUUUUUGGCUUACUACCGAUGCAUCUUUUCCUGAAAACCAUUUAGCUAAUAUAUCCUCUCUAGUUGCUGUUUUUUCCUGAAAACCAUUUAGCUAAUAUAUCCUCUCUAGUUGAUUAUUUUCACUACUAUAUAUGUGUGUAUUUAUGUGUGUGUAUGUUUUUAAAAAACAGUGUCAUGUUCUGAAUAAUAAGUUAAAGUUUAUGAAACAUAUAUAUCUAUGAGUAUGACACUUGUAAUGUAUACAUAUCUUUGCUACAGGCGUGGGGUUCUUCAUCUUCAUGAAAGUGCUGGAAUCCAUGAUCUGGGGCUACCAAGGUGGCAACUUACUCUUUGUCUUAUUGCUGUCCUUAUAGUCUUAUUUUUCAGUCUAUGGAAAGGUGUCAAAACUUCAGGAAAGGU